ensembl:lncRNA LINC00333 long intergenic non-protein coding RNA 333
GCUGGAGUGCAGUGGCGUGAUCUUGGCUCAUCGCAACCUCCGCCUCCUGGGUGCAAGCGAUUCACCUGCCUCAGACUCCGGAAGACCUGAGAUUACAGGGGGUAUCCAGUACAAUGAUGAAUAGAAAUGGAUAAAGCAGAAACACUUGUGUUAUUCUCAAUUCCAGAGAUAUCCUUUACCAAAUAAAGAAAAUUCUCUUCACCAAGAAAUGGAUCAUGGUGGUAUUCUGAUCCGAGACUUCUAGAUUCCAAAACUGUGAGAAAAAAAAAUGUCUGCUGUUUAAGCCACCUUGUCUUUGGUGACAACCCAGGCUGAUUAAGACAGUUAUCAUAUAUUAUUUAUUUACAUAUUACUAGAUUCUAUGUAACAUUUUGUUAAGUUUUAUGUUUACAAGUUAUUUCAUAUUUUAUGUCAAGUUUUUUUAAGGGUUUUAUAAAGAUUUUGCUGCCCUCAUGAAACAAUUAGGUAACAUUUUUCUAUGUUGUGAAAGUAAAAUUGGUAUCAUAUCUUCUUAAAUAAUUGAUUUAAAUUAAAAUUUACCAGUAAAAUUACUGAUGUCUUGAAUUUCUUUGUAGGAAGACUUAUGGGAGUAGAUUCAGUUUAUUUUACAGGU